AGGCGGUGACGCCGAGCGGAACCCGAGAGCCCUCUCAGUUCGGAUCGGAGUCUGCAACCCGACUCCGUGAAGCUGGAUUCGCUAGUAAUCGCGCAUCAGCCAUGGCGCGGUGAAUACGUUCCCGGGCCUUGUACACACCGCCCGUCAAGCCAUGGGAGCCGGGGGUACCUGAAGUGCGUAACCGCGAGGAGCGCCCUAGGGUAAAACUGGUGACUGGGGCUAAGUCGUAACAAGGUACC
rnacentral:rRNA from 1 species